rnacentral:rRNA from 1 species
GACGAAGGGGGCUAGCGUUGUUCGGAAUUACUGGGCGUAAAGCGAGUGUAGAUGGUUGUCCAAGUUGGAUGUGAAAGCCUUGAGCUCAACUCAAGAAAUGCAUUCAGGACUGGAUGGCUAGAGGACCGGAGAGGAUAGUGGAAUUCCCAGUGUAGUGGUGAAAUACGUAGAGAUUAGGAAGAACACCAGUGGCGAAGGCGGCUAUCUGGACGGUUUCUGACACUAAGACUCGAAAGCGUGGGGAGCAAACAGG